rnacentral:lncRNA from 1 species
CUUGAAGCAUGUGCUUUUCCAAAAGCAAAAUAAUAUUGCCAUUUUUCAGAGUGUCAUACUCAUUAUACUGCAAAAAGAAUUUUACUCUGAAAAUGAAAAAAAAAAUAAAAGCAAGUUUCCAGUCAACAAGCUGGAUUUUUAUCUAUUUCUAUUAAAGAAAUGAAUAGUUGGUUGUGCUCUCUUAAGUAAGCAUAAACCAAGUGAUAUCAUAUAUGGGAUAAUAUUAGCCAGUUCGGUGGAUGUUACGGACC